AAUCAACGCUGGCGGCGUGCCUAACACAUGCAAGUCGAACGCGAAAGUCCCGCAAGGGAUUAGUAGAGUGGCAAACGGGUGAGUAACACGUGGGUGACCUGCCUUCGAGCGGGGGAUAACGUCCCGAAAGGGACGCUAAUACCGCAUAACAUCCUGCCUUUUAAGAGGCGGUGAUCAAAGCCGGGGAUUCGCAAGAACCUGGCACUUGAAGAGGGGCCCGCGCCUGAUUAGCUAGUUGGUGGGGAAUGGCCUACCAAGGCAACGAUCAGUAUCCGGCCUGAGAGGGCGGACGGACACACUGGGACUGAGACACGGCCCAGACUCCUACGGGAGGCAGCAGUGGGGAAUUGUUCGCAAUGGGCGCAAGCCUGACGACGCAACGCCGCGUGGAGGAUGAAGACC
rnacentral:rRNA from 1 species